CCACUCGCUUGGCUGUCGCUUGCUCGUAGUUUUGAGAGAAGUUUAUCAGUUCUAUGUAUUUUGAAUUUAUUGUAUAGUACGAUUGUGCCAAGUACUAUAUUUUCGUAAUACUCGCUGAGAGGGAAUCUGACAUUAAAUGCGGUUAUAUAAAAUAACAUGCGUUGCCAUAACCAUCAGGUUGCAGAUAGCAGCAAUAAUUCUGAUCAUAACAUUAUGAAGCAGGUCCGAUUUGCAAGUGAUAAUAAUUCGAACAGUGAGUCCCAGGAGAAGCCGUGUGAAACCGGAGUAAACGGCGAUUUGCAGAUCCAGUUUGGGCCUCAGCUGAAGCUGUUGUCCCGCAAUGACCGUGAACUACAGACUAUUAUAAGGGACAAAUUAUAAAUGUUCUUCAGUUUAAACAUUAUAUUAAUCUGUUAAAAUAGAUUUUGUGUGUAACGUUUCCCCACAGGACAACUAGCAGAGGGGAGUUUGUGUUCUUUAGUCACAGUAACUAAGGAAUUGUAUCGUCAUAAUAUUGCCUUUCCUGACUGACCUCAACAGAACAGAACUGAAAUAUCUGUUGAAAUUAAGCCCUCAAAGUACCAGUAUUUGGAUCAAAAUUGUAAACACAGUAAUCCAAACUACUCUAAAUUUGUUCAUAGAUUAGACUUGUAGUGGAAGAAGGACUAAAUCAGCUCCCAUAUACUGAAUGUAUAGUGACCACACCAACAGGACACAAGUAUGAAGGAGUCAAAUUUGAGAGAGGCAACUGUGGCAUCAGCAUAAUGAGGAGUGGAGAGGCAAUGGAGCAAGGCCUAAGGGACUGCUGCAGAUCUAUCCGCAUUGGCAAGAUUCUUAUACAAUGUGAUGAGACACUGAAAGCCAAGGUGUACUAUGCAAAGCUUCCCCCAGACAUUUACAGAAGGGACAUCAACAUACAACCCACAAACCUGAAUUGGAUUAAGUGGUUUAGAAGAUGAAUGAAUGAAUGAAUGAACAUCAAUCUACUAUGCAUUGCUGUCACAAUUAGGUGAAGGGCAUAUCAGUGUACCUGAUAAAGGACAAAUUAACAGAAAUAGACACUGGCCAUUUGAAAUACAAAAAGCAUAAUGCAAGCUUGUUUGUGAAGUUAGAUAACAUGACUUCCCUGUGUCGUGAAUGUUGACCUGCAGGUAAUGGGAACACAGUGAUCAAAGCAGUCCGAGUGCUCAAUGAACAUGUUGUUCAGCCCUUACAUAUCAUCCUCCUCAGCCUCUUUUCCACCCCUCAUGGUAAGAAAGUGAACACUGAACAACAGAGAUUAUUUGGCACACAAAACAGUGCGUUUUUAUAAAUGUGUUUCAAUGCGUCAUUUUAGUGGUUAGGUCCAUUACUGAAGUUUCCAGACAUCACCAUACUAACCACUGAGGUCCAUCCUAUAGCUCCCUCUCACUUUGGACAGAAGUACUUUGGGACAGAAUAAAGCUAAUUUUAUGUUUCUUAGAGCUAUUGGACAUUUGAUAAGGUACUUGAUUUGUAAUUGGACGUUUGCUGGUUCAAGCCCCACCACUACCAAAUUGCCAC